rnacentral:rRNA from 1 species
CUACGGGUCGCAGCAGUGGGGAAUAUUGGACAAUGGGGGAAACCCUGAUCCAGCAAUGCCGCGUGUGUGAAGAAGGCCUGCGGGUUGUAAAGCACUUUCGGUUGGGAGGACUGCUUCUAGCACUAAUAUUGUUGGAAGUUGACGUUACCUUCAGAAGAAGCACCGGCUAACUCCGUGCCAGCAGCCGCGGUAAUACGGAGGGUGAAGCGUGAAUCGGAAUUACUGGGCGUAAAGCGCGCGUAGGCGGCUAGAUCAGUCGGGUGUGAAAGCCCCGGGCUUAACCUGGGAACUGCAUCCGAUACUGUAUAGCUUGAGUACAGGAGAGGAGAGUGGAAUUCCACAUGUAGCGGUGAAAUGCGUAGAUAUGUGGAGGAACACCAAUGGCGAAGGCAGCUCUCUGGCCUGAUACUGACGCUGAGGUGCGAAAGCGUGGGGAGCAAACAGGAUUAGAUACCCUUGUAGUC